rnacentral:rRNA from 1 species
UACAGAGGUCUCAAGCGUUGUUCGGGAUUCAUUGGGCGUAAAGGGCGCGUAGGCGGCGAGGUAAGUCGGGUGUGAAAUCUCAGAGCUCAACUCUGAAACUGCACUCGAUACUGCUUUGCUAGAGGACUGGAGAGGAGAUUGGAAUUCACGGUGUAGCAGUGAAAUGCGUAGAGAUCGUGAGGAAGACCAGUGGCGAAGGCGGAUCUCUGGGACAGUUCCUGACGCUGAGGCGCGAAGGCCAGGGGAGCAAAACGGG